AUUGAACGCUGGCGGCAUGCCUUACACAUGCAAGUCGAACGGCAGCGGGGACUUCGGUCCGCCGGCGAGUGGCGAACGGGUGAGUAAUGUAUCGGAACGUACCUUUCAGUGGGGGAUAACGUAGCGAAAGUUACGCUAAUACCGCAUAUUCUCUGAGGAGGAAAGCAGGGGACCUUCGGGCCUUGUGCUGAUGGAGCGGCCGAUAUCAGAUUAGCUAGUUGGUGAGGUAAAGGCUCACCAAGGCGACGAUCUGUAGCGGGUCUGAGAGGAUGAUCGGCCACACUGGGACUGAGACACGGCCCAGACUCCUACGGGAGGCGGGAGCGGGGAAUUUUGGACAAUGGGCGCAAGCCUGAUCCAGCCAGGCCGCGUGAGUGAAGAAGGCCUUCGGGUUGUAAAGCUCUUUCGGACGGGAAGAAAUUGGUGGGGCUAAUAUCCCCAUCGGAUGACGGUACCGUAAUAAGAAGCACCGGCUAACUACGUGCCAGCAGCCGCGGUAAAAC
rnacentral:rRNA from 1 species